UAGGCUGUUCAGAAGUCGGCCAGUGUUCCACUGUCUGAAGUAGUAGGUGUAACACUGCCUGGUCCAGGGUGUAAGAAUCGUGACAGGUGUCCAAGCUGUCUCCACUCAGCAAUUUGACCCACUUUAUAGUCCACUGCAUCUACUAAAGGCACAUUGCAUGCAACAAUCAACUGUAUAGCAUUAGAUAAACAGUGGAUGUAAACAGUUGAAUGGAUAUGACAUGUUUGUAAUUAUGCAUUGGGUAUUAUAGUUUCCAUAAUUGAAACCUCACAAUAACCUGUGAAUUAUUUGUACAGUUACUAUGGCAAACUGAUCAAGCCAAACAGAGACUUAAGAGAAGAGUACAAGCUGGAGACAACAUGGUAUAGGGAGUAGAGACCAGGGGCCCCAGGGCCCAGAAAGUGUGUCCAUCCGGGGCAGAGGCAGGAGGGAGAUCAGCACACUGAUGGAAGCCCAACACCAAGCAUUGACAGUGGUGAGGGAAACCAGCUGUAAUCAUCUGUCUGUCAAAGAUAAGGAGAAUACACACAGCCACAUUUCAACUAAUAGGGGUUUCUUGCAUUUCUGCUACAGUGCAGCAUUUAUUUUCCACUGGACUCAGCAGCAGAUAUAAUAUAGGCUAUGGGUGUUCUGUAUGGCUUACACUCUCAGUAGAUUCAGCCUUUGUGUGUGUAUACCGUAUGUAUGUAUAAAGACGGUUGGAUAAGUCACGAGGUCACACUUGAAAAUGUCAGAUGGUUUAAUGUUUGAAUACAGAGGUUAGGCAUUAUUAACAUUUCAUGUUUGCUCUUUUGGUCCUGGGCUGAACAGGUCGAGGUUUAGGCUUCAGUUACACUCCCAGGGGUUUGUGAACUUCAUGACAUUUAUCUGCUGUGCACAUUAGGCCUACAUGGAGAUAUUCAGACCCUCUAGGAGGGAAACCCCCCAUUAACACCGGCAGAGCAGAGCCCUGUGCCAGCGACGCACUCAAAUGCGCUGAACCUCACCACAGAGAAGGGCCAACAGCAAACACCAUGCAGGCCUGCACGCAGAACCCUCAGACACUUAACACUCUGACUAGCCAUUCAUACUAAACACAGACUAGGCCUACAGUAACACUUAAACAGCUUGUAAAGUAAUUGGUUAUUACAGCCACUGUAUCUGACUGUGUGUUUAUGUACAUGUGUGUGUAUCAGUGCCACCUGGUGAGGGAAGAGUGAGGCACAGCCUGCUCAACCUGCCCAUCAUCAAACCAGAGAGACUGCAGACAGCCAAAGUACUGGUGGAGAAAGCUGUAAAGGUGUUCUCCAUACUGCGUCCAAACACUGGGGUUCGGGCUGCCCUAAGGGCGAGGGGAUGGCUAGAGCAUUGUCUGCCAUGUCGAAACCAGCACUGUCACCAUGGAGAUGAGGAGGAUGAUGAUGAUGAUGCUGAUGACAAUGGUGAGGCAGGAGGGCCACUGCAAAUUGUAGUAAUUCAUUCUCACCAGUUUGUUAAUCACCAUUGACCAUUAUCUUAAAGACUAGAUUGUAAUCUCCCUGUAUGAUCUGUUUAGACAGCCCAGAGAGACAGACCCAGAUGACAAUAAAGGGAAAGGGGAUACCUAGUCAGUUGCACAACUGAAUGCAUUCAACCAAAAUGUGUCUUCCGCUUUUAACCCAACCCAUCUGAAUCAGAGAGGUGGGAGCAGUUGUUGGGGGUUAACUGCAUUGCUCAAGGGUGUGUGUGUGUGGCUUAUAUUUUCAUAUGAUCAAUUCUUGUAGCACAAAGUUUUUGUGGAUUUUCCCCACUCAUCUUUUUGACAGUCGGACGAAACGACUGCUCAUCUUUUUGGUGAGGACGAAACGACAUAUUUCUAUUGGACGACAGAUAGAGAGACAAUCGACAACCGCUCAUUACAAAGGAGCAGAUGACCAAUCACUAUGCCAAAGCAGGCACCUUCACCACCAAGGUUGACUUUCACAGGGGAGAAAAUAAUAAACUCUUUACCUUUUCACUGUGAUCAUUUGGUUUGAUGCUGCAGACCCUGACUCGUUAUACCCACGCUGCUACAGGCUGGGGCAGAGGAUAAGAAACAUGAGUUUAGCGAUCAGAAUCCUCACCGCUCUCUAUCCCAAACCCUCUUUCUCUGAUCUUCCUAUUUCCCUCCUCUAACGGAAUGCGUCACUUCAUUCGUCUUGGUGGGAUUUACAGUACAUCCCUUUAGUUUUCCAUACUUUCUCCUACCCCGAUUUCUCUGACUAUACCCUCUGUUCAUAUUCCUCUUCUUACCUCCCACCUUUCAUUUUAGGAAAUCUCUAACUCCAGGGAGGGCAGGUAGCCUAGUGGUUAGAGCUUUGGGCCAGUAACCGAAUCCCCGAGCUGACAAG